AUAUCUUUCUCAUCCUUUUGGCUAAGAUAAGGUGUAGUAUACUAAUAUUUGUUCUUUUCGGUUUAAUAUCUGAUAUGUGGACCAUAUUCUCACUCUGAUAUUAAAUUUAUUUUUUAUGGGUAUCAAAUAUAAUAUAUGUACGGUACAAGUCAUUGGAAAAUAAUGAACACAUACUUUUUUCACACAAACGGACAGGAGCGUGUGAUUGCA
rnacentral:snRNA from 1 species